rnacentral:sRNA from 1 species
AUUCUUGAAGAAGUCAGGAGACUCCAAGACCUAGGUCACGCGUUGUCGAGGCCUCACAAUUUGCCAUUUUCAUUUAUACCCUCUUUAAAUUUAUAAUGACCAUUUUACCUUUAUUUAGAAAUUGUUUUAGGUUAACAAAAUGGAAUAUUAAUAUUUUUCGCCAAAAAUUUCGAAAAAAAUAUCCUGCCAAAAAAAAUUUCUCAAAAAUAUUUUUCCCGCAAAAAAAAAGCUCAUCUGCAACCAGCUCGACAGUUGUGGGUUCGACGAGAGAAUGUU